UAUGUCCUACUUUUUGAAAUUGCUAAAUAUCAUGAUUUCAUUAGACUUUCAACCUUGUUAUCAAAUGUUACUACAAAAUCUGGCUUAAGUUUGGUCUCUUAAGGAGGCAAUCCUAUAUCUUACCAAUAUGUCUUCUCACCAAAAACUGAAUUUUGCCUAUGACGCUAGUCUAAAAUUGAACUUUGUGACUCUUAGGUGCUACUGAUAGACAAUUUCACCAACAAGAAGGGAAUGACUAGUCAUUGUUAUAGGAUUGCAUAUCGAUCGAUGGAACGUUCACUCACAGAUGACGAAAUUAAUGAGUUGAAGUGGAAUGUAAGAGAGCAGGUGCAGAGCAAGCUGAACGUUGUUCUUCGAUGAGGGUUUGUGGUGCAGUCUGCUACUUAUAUCAUUUCAAAGCCAGUAAAGACAAAAAAGCACCCCUAAGAUUGAAGGGGACAGGUAAAAUUUUUGAACGAUAAGUUGAUCAAACAGUUGUGUCCUGUAGUAUCUUUGAUCUUUAUGGUUCUAUAUGCUCUUUGAUGAGUUUGAUAGCAAUCACAUAUUCCAAGAAAAAGCACUAGUCCAAAUUUUAC